AACAGGUGGAAUCGGACAAAAAUUGCAAAAGUUAGAGCAAAUGUAGCUAUUUAGGGCACUUCUUGUUGAAAUAAGGUCACUUCCAGUUUAUUUGGAGCACUUCCGGUGUAAUUUAGGGCACUUCCGGUUUAUUUGGGCUCACUUCUGGUUUACCUGAGGUCACUUCCGGUUUAUUUGGGGUCACUUCCGGUUUGAUUUGGGGUCACUUCCGGUUUACCUGAGGUCACUUCCAGUUUUUUUGGGGUCACUUCCGGGUUGAUUUGGGGCACUUCCGGUUCAUUCUGGGUUCAUUGGGGCACUUCAGGGUCAAUCCAAGAUGGCCGCCACACUGGAAGUGGGGAUCAAGGGUUGAAUUGUGUAAGCAUCGUGGAAGUGGGGGUGAAUGGGGGUGAAUAUGGUAAGCAUAAGGUGAACAAAGUGAAUAAAGUUGGAAUGGGUUGAAUCGGUUGAAAAAUGUAGAAAUUAGAGUAGAAAAACGAAAUUUUGGAGAAUUUGGUUGAAUUUCAAAUUUGAAAGUUUGGAAUUUUUGGUAAGUGG